UACGGAGGGUGCAAGCGUUAUCCGGAAUCAUUGGGUUUAAAGGGUCCGCAGGCGGAUUUAUAAGUCAGUGGUGAAAGCCUGCAGCUCAACUGCAGAACUGCCAUUGAUACUGUAAGUCUUGAAUUCGGUCGAAGUGGGCGGAAUAUGACAUGUAGCGGUGAAAUGCUUAGAUAUGUCAUAGAACACCGAUAGCGAAGGCAGCUCACUAGGCCUGGAUUGACGCUCAGG
rnacentral:rRNA from 1 species